CUGGGCCCCUCAGUCUGCUCAUGUCUUCGCCUGCAGCACCAUCUUCCAGGGCUCUGCAGUGUGUGUGUACAGCAUGAACGACGUGCGCCGGGCCUUCCUGGGGCCCUUUGCACACAAGGAAGGGCCCAUGCACCAGUGGGUGUCCUACCAGGGCCGUGUCCCCUACCCCCGGCCUGGCAUGGUGCGUAGCCCCAGGAGUCCCACCACAACCCACUUAAAGUCUCAGGGGUGGAAAACUUGGCCUGGGAUCUUCUUGGUGAAUGUGUUUUUUUCCUUCCGUUAUGGGUGGGAAAACAUCACCUUUGUCAGACAGGGCUCCUCAGAGGAAGGGCAUAUUUCCCCCUAAGAGUCCCAAGGGCAAGUCUGGGUCUUCUCUCUUCAGAUUCUCAGGGCAGACCUCUGUCCAUUAGCACUCCUCUAUACUCGGGUACCUGGAGGUCUCUUGUGGACCCACCAGGCCCUCGUACCCACAUCCCUGUCGUGCCUCCUCCCCACCUGCCCAGUGUCCCAGCAAGACCUUUGGCACCUUCAGUUCUACCAAGGACUUUCCUGAUGACGUCAUUCAAUUUGCCCGGAACCACCCCCUCAUGUACAAUUCGGUCCUGCCCAUGGGUGGUCGCCCUCUCUUCAUACAAGUGGAUGCCGGGUACACCUUCACCCAGAUCACUGCAGACCGUGUAGCAGCUGCUGACGGACACUACGACGUCCUCUUCAUUGGCACAGGUCAGUGUCCUGCCAUGACUACCCAUAAAACUCUGUCCAGACUCUCUUCCACCUGUCAGCAGAAGCUGCCCCUGCCCAGUCCCAUCUUCACAUCUUUGCCUGGGUUGUGCUCUCAUCUCCUUCUGGAUGCUGGUCUGAUUGUUCCAACCCACAUUCUUCACCUAUCCAACCAUGCUAAGGGUAAAGGCCUCAGAAGUGAGGAGAUCCCCAGCCCUAGCUGCCAGGAAACACAAGGAAUCACUCAUUCCUCAUCCCUGCAGACGCUGGCACAGUGCUGAAGGUGAUCUCCGUCCCCAAGGGCAGCCAGCCUAACGGGGAGGGGCUGCUCUUGGAGGAGCUGCACGUUUUUGAGGUGAGGCCUAGCCCCCUCCUCCUAGAGGAACCCUACCCCAUUGAUCUCUGAUCCCAGCGCUCGCUCCUCCUCCUCCUCCUCUCAGGAUUCAUCUGCUAUCACCAGCAUGCAAAUCUCUUCCAAGAGGGUAAGUGACCAAAAGGCUUGGGAGCAGAAGGGACCCAGUGUGUUCCCCGGGCACCCCUACCCCCACACCUCCCUUGGUAGUUUGAAGCACUGGGUUUGAGUAUAGGUUCUGCCUUUGCUAGACUGCGUGACCUGAGACCCUGAUCAGUGUCAAGUGGGGUGAGGGAUCCCUGACCAAUGGGAGGCGGGCACAGGGCUGCCUUCGGUCAGCCCGGAGCCCCUCGUGCCCCCUAGCACCAGCUGUACAUAGCUUCGCGGAGCGCGGUCGCCCAGAUCCCGUUGCACCUCUGUGCUGCCCACGGCCGCGCCUGUGCGGAAUGCUGCCUUGCGCGCGACCCUUACUGCGCCUGGGACGGGGCCGCGUGCACGCGCUUUCAGCCCAGCGCUAAAAGGUGGGCAGGGUUGGGGGCGGGCCACCUGGAAUCAUUUGCAGCACCUGGCUAAAUGAAGAAGGACUCACCGAGGCUCUAAUGUACCAAUGCAACCCCCACCCUGCAGGCGGUUCCGGCGGCAAGACGUGAGGAAUGGCGACCCCAGCACGCUGUGCU
rnacentral:lncRNA from 1 species